AACGCACGAGACCUGCGGACCUGCGGAAGGAUCAUUAGUGAGAAACUGCCCCUCGCGGGUAGAUCUCCCACCCUUUGUAAACUUACCUUUGUUGCUUUGGCAGGCCCGUCUCCGGACCGCCGGCUUCGGCUGGCCAGUGCCUGCCAGAGGAUUCUAAAACUCUGUCUGUCAGUGUUGUCUGAGUCUAUAUACAAUCGUUAAAACUUUCAACAACGGAUCUCUAGAUCGGAAGAGCACACG
rnacentral:misc_RNA from 1 species